rnacentral:rRNA from 1 species
CACGUAGGGUGCGAGCGUUGUCCGGAAUUAUUGGGCGUAAAGAGCUCGUAGGCGGUGUGUCGCGUCGGCCGUGAAAACCUGGGGCUUAACUCUGGGCUUGCGGUCGAUACGGGCAUCACUGGAGUUCGGCAGGGGAGACUGGAAUUCCUGGUGUAGCGGUGAAAUGCGCAGAUAUCAGGAGGAACACCGGUGGCGAAGGCGGGUCUCUGGGCCGAUACUGACGCUGAGACGCGAAAGCGUGGGGAGCGAACAGG